rnacentral:misc_RNA from 1 species
AAUAUUAAUGGUGUAGUAUAUUUCUAUAGUUAACUAUUAUAUGAAUAGGCUAUUAGAUUAGCUAUAGAUAACUUAGAGAUAGCAGCUGGCUAAACUAUUAAACUUGCUCUAAUGUAAUCACCCUCAGGACCUCAACGUACAUACGAUGAUGAGCAAGUUUAAUAGUGUAGCCCACUACUAGCUCCAGAUUAUCUAUAACCAAUGUAAUAGCCAAUUCAUAUAAUAGUUGCUUACUAUACUAUUAAUAUCU